rnacentral:rRNA from 1 species
AUUGAACGCUGGCGGCAGGCCUAACACAUGCAAGUCGAGCGGAGCGGCGGACGGGUGAGUAAUGCCUAGGAAUCUGCCUGGUAGUGGGGGAUAACGUCCGGAAACGGGCGCUAAUACCGCAUACUAUCAGAUGAGCCUAGGGCGGAUUAGCUGGUUGGUGGGGUAAAGGCCUACCAAGGCGACGAUCCGUAACUGGUCUGAGAGGAUGAUCAGUCACACUGCAACUAGGACACGGCCCAGCUUCCUACGUGAGGCAGCGGUGGGGAAUAUUGGACAAGUGGCGAAAGCCUGAUCCAGCCUGGCCGCUUGUGUGAAGAAGGUCUGCGGAUUGUAAAGCACUUUAAGUUGGGAGGCGUUACCAACAGAAUAAGCACCGGCUAACUUCGUGCCACCCGCCGCGGUAAUA